rnacentral:rRNA from 1 species
UAAGGAAUAUUGGUCAAUGGACGCAAGUCUGAACCAGCUAUGCCGCGUGAAGGAUUAAGGUCCUCUGGAUUGUAAACUUCUUUUAUCUGGGACGAAAAAAGGCCUUUCUAGGCUUCUUGACGGUACCAGAUGAAUAAGCACCGGCUAACUCCGUGCCAGCAGCCGCGGUAAUACGGAGGGUGCAAGCGUUAAUCGGAAUUACUGGGCGUAAAGCGUGCGCAGGCGGUCUUGUAAGACAGAUGUGAAAUCCCCGGGCUCAACCUGGGAACUGCAUUUGUGACUGCAAGGCUAGAGUGCGGCAGAGGGGGAUGGAAUUCCGCGUGUAGCAGUGAAAUGCGUAGAUAUGACAUAGAACACCUAUUGCGAAGGCAGCUUACUACGCAUAUAUUGACGCUGAGGCACGAAAGCGUGGGGAUCAAACAGG